CUGACGGAGCACGCCGCGUGAGUGAUAGAAGGUCUUCGGAUCGUAAAACUCUGUUAUUAGGGAAGAACAAAUGUGUAAGUAACUAUGCACAUCUUGACGGUACCUAAUCAGAAAGCCACGGCUAACUACGUGCCAGCAGCCGCGGUAAUA
rnacentral:rRNA from 1 species